rnacentral:tRNA from 1 species
GAAGGUAUAGCUCAGUGGUAGAGUGUGUGCUUAGCAUGCACAAGGUCCUGGCUUCAAUCCCCAGUACCCCCA